rnacentral:misc_RNA from 1 species
GUACCUUCAAGCUUUGCUUGGUGUUGGGUGUUUGUCCAUUCUCUUGCAGAGGGACUCGCCUUAAAGUAAUUGGCAGCCAGUGUUUUGGUUUUGAAGCGCAGCACAAGUCGCGAUUCAACGCUAUACGCCAGCUUCCACAAGCCUUUUUCAC